ACUACAGUUCCCGGGAUGCCCCACGCGCCGCACCUGCACGCCCCCCUUGCCUCCCCGCGCGCGCACGCGCACGAGGAGGAACACGAGCUGGGGCUGCGGACUCCGCGGCGAGCGUUGAGGAUGGAGGCCGGCGAGGCGGCGCCGCCGGCGGGGGCGGGCGGCUGGGGCAAGUGGGUGCGGCUCAAUGUCGGGGGCACGGUGUUCCUGACCACCCGGCAGACGCUGUGCCGCGAGCAGAAGUCCUUCCUCAGCCGCCUGUGCCAGGGCGAUGAGCUGCAGUCGGACCGGGAUGAGACCGGAGCCUACCUCAUUGACCGUGACCCCACCUACUUCGGGCCCAUCCUCAACUUCCUCCGUCAUGGGAAGCUGGUGUUGGACAAGGACAUGGCCGAGGAGGGGGUCCUGGAGGAAGCAGAAUUCUACAACAUCGGCCCACUCAUCCGCAUCAUCAAAGACCGCAUGGAGGAGAAAGACUACACAGUGACCCAGGUGCCACCCAAGCACGUGUACCGCGUGCUGCAGUGCCAGGAGGAAGAGCUCACACAGAUGGUGUCCACCAUGUCUGACGGCUGGCGCUUUGAGCAGCUGGUGAACAUCGGCUCCUCCUACAACUACGGCAGUGAAGACCAGGCCGAGUUCUUGUGCGUGGUGUCCAAGGAACUGCACAGCUCCCCGCACGGGCUCAGCUCUGAGUCCAGCCGCAAAACCAUGAACGCGGAGGAGCCGCUGGAGCAGCAACAGCAGCAGGAGGAGGAGGAGGUGCAGGUGCAGGUGCAACGGGUGCAGGUGGAGGCAGAUACACAGGAGACAGCGCAGGCAUCUCAGGAUCCCGCUAACCUUCUCUCCCUCCCACCACCGCCUCCUCCGCUUGCCACUGGAGGUCCUGCCUCAUCUUCAUCCACCUCCUCCUCCUCCUGGAUCUCAUCUGCACCCUGCCUCUUCCCUGUCUGCCCAUGUCCGGGCUUCCUCUCUGCCUGCUCACACCUCCAUCCCAGGCCUGCCCCGCUCCCAGCCUCCCCUGCCCCAUCUCCCACAGCAUCCUGCCUGCUGCCUCCUAUGCCUCUCCUGGCACCUCCGGCCUCCUGGCCUGGGGACCAGGGGCACGGCCGCACCUGCCCUGUGGCUGCCAAACCUACCUCCGCCACUGGGCUCCUGUUCCCGUGUGCACCCUCCCAGACCUGAGGCUGAGCUGGCCCUGAGGGCUUCUCCCUGGCCCCUCGCUCGCCCCCCGAGCUGCCGUCCCUGCUGUUACCAGCCAGAGGCUCGUGGAUGUGAGGCCCCAGAGCGCCUGCAGGGACUUGGGGUUCCAAUCUGAAAUCUUUUAUUUUUGUAUCACGGGGUGGGCCCCCAGCCUGAGACAGAAGAAAUGCUGCCCCCACCGCUGCCUCUGUCUGCACCUGCGGGGCUGGGACCUGCCCCUGCCUCCAGGGAUGAGCUGGGGGCCCACAGGAACUUCAGGAGGCUCAAGGUGGGCCCAGGGAUGCCUGGGCAGGGCUGCCUGCCUGUGUGGCACUGUCCAGCGGCACCCUCCAGGCCCCUCUGUCACCUCCCCCUGCUGCAUGGCAGAUACAUUCCCUCGAGGCCUGGCCACAGCAACUCCUUGAACUUGAGUCCCCCAAACCCAGCCACCUCAUAGGUGGCUAUGCAGGUUCAGGAGACACCCUUCUCACACCUGCCCUAGGAGAGGUCCCAGCCCCCCAGUGCAACACUGUGUGAGUGGAGAGGAGGCUGGUGCUGGGGGGUUGCUAACUUGGCCUUCCCUCGGUUGCCCAUGACCCCCUCCCCAUUCGCAUUGUCCACAGAGCUGGCGAUGGCUUGGGGAUGAGGACGAGGGGCAGUAGAAGUGGUUUGGCAGGAGGAUGCUCAGCAGCUAGGACAAGGGCAGGGUCUGGGAGUGGCUGGGACUGAGCGCGGGACACCUACACUUGUGACUCCAUGGGGUGGGGACUCACUUCUUGGCUGUGUCCACUCACCAUGUAAUAAAGCCUGAUGAAACAG